UACGGAGGGUGCAAGCGUUGUCCGGAAUCACUGGGCGUAAAGGGCGCGUAGGCGGCUCAUGAAGGCUGUGGUGAAAGUCCGGGGCUCAACCUCGGAUCGGCCGUGGCGACUCGUGGGCUGGAGCACUGUAGAGGCGGGUGGAAUUCCGGGUGUAGCGGUGGAAUGCGUAGAGAUCCGGAAGAACACCAGUGGCGAAGGCGGCCCGCUGGGCAGUGGCUGACGCUGAGGCGCGACAGCAUGGGGAGCAAACAGG
rnacentral:rRNA from 1 species